rnacentral:rRNA from 1 species
UACGUAGGGUCCGAGCGUUGUCCGGAAUUAUUGGGCGUAAAGAGCUCGUAGGCGGUGUGUCACGUCGGCCGUGAAAACCUGGGGCUUAACUCUGGGCGUGCGGUCGAUACGGGCAUCACUAGAGUUCGGCAGGGGAGACUGGAAUUCCUGGUGUAGCGGUGAAGUGCGCAGAUAUCAGGAGGAACACCGGUGGCGAAGGCGGGUCUCUGGGCCGAUACUGACGCUGAGGAGCGAAAGCAUGGGGAGCGAACAGG